UGAGCCCUGAAUCAAGGCCGACAGCUUGCUGUGGCUGUUGGUUUCAAACAGCGGCUAAAAUUAAAGUCUUCAGAUGGUCUGUUGAAUUUCUCAGAACUUACUAAAUGGGAAAAUCAGUUCAGUUAGAAGAGACAUUU